CUGUAAGACUGGGAUAACUCCGGGAAACCGGGGCUAAUACCGGAUGGUUGUUUGAACCGCAUGGUUCAGACAUAAAAGGUGGCUUCGGCUACCACUUACAGAUGGACCCGCGGCGCAUUAGCUAGUUGGUGAGGUAACGGCUCACCAAGGCGACGAUGCGUAGCCGACCUGAGAGGGUGAUCGGCCACACUGGGACUGAGACACGGCCCAGACUCCUACGGGAGGCAGCAGUAGGGAAUCUUCCGCAAUGGACGAAAGUCUGACGGAGCAACGCCGCGUGAGUGAUGAAGGUUUUCGGAUCGUAAAGCUCUGUUGUUAGGGAAGAACAAGUGCCGUUCAAAUAGGGCGGCACCUUGACGGUACCUAACCAGAAAGCCACGGCUAACUACGUGCCAGCAGCCGCGGUAAUACGUAGGUGGCAAGCGUUGUCCGGAAUUAUUGGGCGUAAAGGGCUCGCAGGCGGUUUCUUAAGUCUGAUGUGAAAGCCCCCGGCUCAACCGGGGAGGGUCAUUGGAAACUGGGGAACUUGAGUGCAGAAGAGGAGAGUGGAAUUCCACGUGUAGCGGUGAAAUGCGUAGAGAUGUGGAGGAACACCAGUGGCGAAGGCGACUCUCUGGUCUGUAACUGACGCUGAGGAGCGAAAGCGUGGGGAGCGAACAGGAUUAGAUACCCUGGUAGUCCACGCCGUAAACGAUGAGUGCUAAGUGUUAGGGGGUUUCCGCCCCUUAGUGCUGCAGCUAACGCAUUAAGCACUCCGCCUGGGGAGUACGGUCGCAAGACUGAAACUCAAAGGAAUUGACGGGGGCCCGCACAAGCGGUGGAGCAUGUGGUUUAAUUCGAAGCAACGCGAAGAACCUUACCAGGUCUUGACAUCCUCUGACAAUCCUAGAGAUAGGACGUCCCCUUCGGGGGCAGAGUGACAGGUGGUGCAUGGUUGUCGUCAGCUCGUGUCGUGAGAUGUUGGGUUAAGUCCCGCAACGAGCGCAACCCUUGAUCUUAGUUGCCAGCAUUCAGUUGGGCACUCUAAGGUGACUGCCGGUGACAAACCGGAGGAAGGUGGGGAUGACGUCAAAUCAUCAUGCCCCUUAUGACCUGGGCUACACACGUGCUACAAUGGACAGAACAAAGGGCAGCGAAACCGCGAGGUUAAGCCAAUCCCACAAAUCUG
rnacentral:rRNA from 1 species